GGGACAGGACUGGUGAGGAGAGGCUGAGGGAACUGGGCUUAUUCAGUCUGGAGAAGAGAGGACCAAGGGGGACUUAAUAGCAGCCUUCACCUCCCUGCAGGGGGGCUGCAAAGAG